UCGAACGCUUCUUUUUCCCCGGAGCUUGCUCCACCGGAAAAAGAGGAGUGGCGAACGGGUGAGUAACACGUGGGUAACCUGCCCAUCAGAAGGGGAUAACACUUGGAAACAGGUGCUAAUACCGUAUAACAAUCGAAACCGCAUGGUUUUGAUUUGAAAGGCGCUUUCGGGUGUCGCUGAUGGAUGGACCCGCGGUGCAUUAGCUAGUUGGUGAGGUAACGGCUCACCAAGGCCACGAUGCAUAGCCGACCUGAGAGGGUGAUCGGCCACAUUGGGACUGAGACACGGCCCAAACUCCUACGGGAGGCAGCAGUAGGGAAUCUUCGGCAAUGGACGAAAGUCUAACCGAGCAACGCCGCGUGAGUGAAGAAGGUUUUCGGAUCGUAAAACUCUGUUGUUAGAGAAGAACAAGGAUGAGAGUAACUGUUCAUCCCUUGACGGUAUCUAACCAGAAAGCCACGGCUAACUACGUGCCAGCAGCCGCGGUAAUACGUAGGUGGCAAGCGUUGUCCGGAUUUAUUGGGCGUAAAGCGAGCGCAGGCGGUUUCUUAAGUCUGAUGUGAAAGCCCCCGGCUCAACCGGGGAGGGUCAUUGGAAACUGGGAGACUUGAGUGCAGAAGAGGAGAGUGGAAUUCCAUGUGUAGCGGUGAAAUGCGUAGAUAUAUGGAGGAACCCAGUGGCGAGGCGGCUCUCUGGCUGUACUGACCUGAGCUCGAAGCGUGGGAGCAAC
rnacentral:rRNA from 1 species